rnacentral:rRNA from 1 species
UACGUAGGGAGCAAGCGUUGUCCGGAAUCAUUGGGCGUAAAGCGCGCGUAGGUGGUCCCGUAAGUCCGCUGUGAAAGUCGGGGGCUCAACCCUCGAAUGCCGGUGGAUACUGUCGGGCUAGAGUGCGGAAGAGGCGAGUGGAAUUCCUGGUGUAGCGGUGAAAUGCGCAGAUAUCAGGAGGAACACCAAUUGCGAAGGCAGCUCGCUGGGACGUUACUGACGCUGAGACGCGAAAGCGUGGGGAGCAAACAGG